rnacentral:ncRNA from 1 species
CUAUUAUCUUUAUGUGUUUGUCAAACAAACAUAAUAUUCCGGUGUAGCUCAGUGGUAGAGCAAUCGCCUGUACCGUAGUUCGUGCAGCUUCCUAAAGUAAUUUAGGAUGAAAAAUGAGGUGAAUUCGGGGAAACCCUAAUCCUAAAAAAUUAGAAGAUGGGCAAUCCCGAGCCAAGCCAAGCACCAAAAAUGAUGCUCGGAAGGUGUAGAGACUAUCUCGAACGAGAGUAGCUGUCAUGAAAGUGACCGCGAAGCGCCCCACAUCCAACUCACAUUUGUGAAGGAUGAUGAUAUAGUCCAUGCCACGCGUAAUCGUGGA